rnacentral:rRNA from 1 species
UACGGGGGGGGCAAGCGUUGUUCGGAAUUACUGGGCGUAAAGGGUUUGUAGGCGGCCAACUAAGUCAGACGUGAAAUCCCCAGGCUCAACCUGGGAACUGCGUCCGAUACUGGUGGGCUUGAAUCCGGGAGAGGGAUGUGGAAUUCCAGGUGUAGCGGUGAAAUGCGUAGAUAUCUGGAGGAACACCGGUGGCGAAGGCGGCAUCCUGGACCGGUAUUGACGCUGAUGCGCGAAAGCCAGGGGAGCAAACGGG